rnacentral:rRNA from 1 species
GGGGAAUUUUCCGCAAUGGGCGAAAGCCUGACGGAGCAAGACCGCGUGGGGGAAGAAGGCUCUUGGGUUGUCAACCCCUUUUCUCAGGGAAGAAGUUCUGACGGUACCUGAGGAAUAAGCAUCGGCUAACUCCGUGCCAGCAGCCGCGGUAAGACGGAGGAUGCAAGCGUUAUCCGGAAUUAUUGGGCGUAAAGCGUCCGUAGGUGGCUUUUCAAGUCGGCGGUCAAAGACCGGGGCUUAACUCCGGAAAGGCCGUGGAAACUGAAAGGCUAGAGAAAGGUAGGGGUAGGGGGAAUUCCCGGUGUAGCGGUGAAAUGCGUAGAGAUCGGGAAGAACACCGGUGGCGAAAGCGCCCUACUGGACCUUAUCUGACACUGAGGGACGAAAGCUAGGGGAGCGAAUGGGAUUAGAUACCCCAGUAGUC